CCUACGGGAGGCAGCAGUGAGGAAUCUUGGUCAAUGGACGAGAGUCUGAACCAGCCAAGUAGCGUGAAGGAUGACUGCCCUAUGGGUUGUAAACUUCUUUUAUAAAGGAAUAAAACGAGGCACGUGUGCCUUUUUGCAUGUACUUUAUGAAUACGGAUCGGCUAACUCCGUGCCAGCAGCCGCGGUAAUACGGAGGAUCCGAGCGUUGUCCGGAUUGAUUGGGUUUAAAGGGCGCGUAGAUGGGUUGUUAAGUCAGGUGUGAAAGUUUGCGGCUCAACCGUAGAAUUGCAAUUGAUACUGGCAGUCUUGAGUACAGUUGAGGUAGGCGGAAUUCGUGGUGUAGCGGUGAAAUGCUUAGAUAUCACGAAGAACCCCGAUUGCGAAGGCAGCUUACUAAACUGUGACUGACAUUGAGGCUCGAAAGUGUGGGUAUCAAACGGGAUUAGAUACCCGUGUAGUC
rnacentral:rRNA from 1 species